ACAUUGCGGUGAUUCAGCACAUGCUAGUCGACGAGAAAUUCCGCUUCGGCGGGAGAGUAAAGUGGCGCACGGGUGAGUAACGCGUGGGUAAUUUGCCCUUGAGAUCGGGAUAACCCUGCGAAAGCGGGGCUAAUACCGGAUAAGACCACGGCCUGUUCGCGGGCAGUGGUAAAAGGCGGCCUAUACAUGUAAGCUGUUGCUCAAGGAUAAGCCCGCGUACCAUUAGCUUGUUGGUGGGGUAAUGGCCCACCAAGGCGACGAUGGUUAGCUGAUCUGAGAGGAUGGUCAGCCACACUGGAACUGAGACACGGUCCAGACUCCUACGGGAGGCAGCAGUGGGGAAUCUUGCGCAAUGGGGGAAACCCUGACGCAGCAACGCCGCGUGAGUGAUGAAGGCCUUCGGGUCGUAAAGCUCUGUCAGACGGGAAGAAGAAGCCUGGUGAUAAUACCAUCAGGAGUUGACGGUACCGCCAAAGGAAGCGCCGGCUAACUCCGUGCCAGCAGCCGCGGUAAUACGGAGGGCGCAAGCGUUGUUCGGAUUUAUUGGGCGUAAAGGGCGUGUAGGCGGUCAGAUAAGUCUGGUGUGAAAGCCCUUGGCUCAACCAAGGAAUGUCGCUGGAAACUGUCUGGCUUGAGUACGAGAGAGGAGAGUGGAAUUCCCGGUGUAGAGGUGAAAUUCGUAGAUAUCGGGAGGAACACCGGUGGCGAAGGCGGCUCUCUGGCUCGAUACUGACGCUGAGACGCGAAAGCGUGGGGAGCAAACAGGAUUAGAUACCCUGUAGUCCACGCCGUAAACGUUGGGCACUAGGUGUGGGAGGUAUCAACUCCUUCUGUGCCGAAGCUAACGCAUUAAGUGCCCCGCCUGGCACUACGGCCGCAAGGCUA
rnacentral:rRNA from 1 species